rnacentral:ncRNA from 1 species
CAUGAUUAGCCUAGCUAGGAUUGUUUAGAGGGUAGUCGCAGUCGCCCCAACUCCGACUUGCAAAAAUUUUGUUUUGUAAGUAGGGUGAGAAACAACUUUUGUUGGAAACUUUAAUCUUUUUAAGAGAUUGGAGAACUGU